rnacentral:rRNA from 1 species
CCUACGGGGGGCAGCAGUGGGGAAUAUUGGACAAUGGGGGGAACCCUGAUCCAGCCAUGCCGCGUGUGUGAAGAAGGCCCUCGGGUUGUAAAGCACUUUCAGUGAGGAAGAACGCCUGGUGGUUAAUACCCAUCAGGAAAGACAUCACUCACAGAAGAAGCACCGGCUAACUCCGUGCCAGCAGCCGCGGUAAUACGGAGGGUGCGAGCGUUAAUCGGAAUUACUGGGCGUAAAGCGCGCGUAGGUGGCUUGAUAAGCCGGUUGUGAAAGCCCCGGGCUCAACCUGGGAACGGCAUCCGGAACUGUCAAGCUAGAGUGCAGGAGAGGAAGGUAGAAUUCCCGGUGUAGCGGUGAAAUGCGUAGAGAUCGGGAGGAAUACCAGUGGCGAAGGCGGCCUUCUGGACUGACACUGACACUGAGGUGCGAAAGCGUGGGUAGCAAACAGGAUUAGAUACCCUGGUACUC